rnacentral:rRNA from 1 species
AGUGGGGAAUUUUCCGCAAUGGGCGAAAGCCUGACGGAGCAACGCCGCGUGAGGGAGGAAGGCUCUUGGGUUGUAAACCUCUUUUGUUAGGGAAGAAGAAAGUGACGGUACCUAACGAAUAAGCAUCGGCUAACUCCGUGCCAGCAGCCGCGGUAAUACGGAGGAUGCAAGCGUUAUCCGGAAUUAUUGGGCGUAAAGCGUCCGCAGGUGGUGAUUCAAGUCGGUUGUCAAAGACCGUAGCUAAACUACGGAAAGGCAGUGGAAACUGAAGAACUAGAGACCAGUAGGGGUAGCGGGAAUUCCCAGUGUAGCGGUGAAAUGCGUAGAGAUUGGGAAGAACAUCGGUGGCGAAAGCGCGCUACUGGGCUGGGACUGACACUGAGGGACGAAAGCUAGGGGAGCGAA